rnacentral:lncRNA from 1 species
GAGGGAAAAAGAGUUAGUAACUUAAUUGUAUUACAUAAAGGAAUGUCAACAAGUGAUAGCUUGCAAUUAAACUAUGUUUCUUCUUUCAGCUAAUCAAGUCUAUGUGGAUUUUAAAACAAGAGAUAGUACGGGUUAAACUUCAUUUAAGCACUCAAAUUGGAUCUCUAAAAGAUUUCCUGUGAGUACGAAAAAUGAGCCUUAGGUCAAAGGCCCUAAACAUCUUUAGCCUUCUUAAAUCAGGACAUGCUACAUGCAUUUGAGUGAGCCCAAAAAUUGGACUUAAUCCCGUUCAAAGUCUUCAUGACUCCAAACUCGUUUCAAAGCCUUGUUGGGCCAAUUAUUUAGGCCCAAUGAACCCUGGUAACAAAGCUCGAUGACUCACAAUUCAAAGUUUCAUCCAUCAUUGAAAAGGAACAAAAUGAUUUUACACAUAAUUCAGACGUUGAUACAUAUCGUUCAAGUUCUAAUUACAACACCAACCUCUCAUAACUAGAAUUACAGCUGAAAUACUUCAGUAAUAGCUAUUCUAAUAACAAUCUAAAUUAAUUGUGACCUAUAAUUUGAAUACCACACACUGAAAUACUAGAAAAUUUGUUCUUCUCCAACAAAUACACAUGUCAACUGAAAUUUACCUUUUAGACUCGAGGUUUAAAGCUCUACUAUUUCAAAAAUAUACUAUCAUCUUGGUUAUAUUGAUCAAAUAUUGCCAUGAGCAAAAUCUAUGUGUUAAAUGCUUUAUAUAGCCCUUUCAAAUGCGCAGUUUAAAAUUUAACAUUCCUUUAUCCUCAAAAUCAGUGCUCCAAAUGCUAAUAAUUCAAGCGUAUUUUUCUUAUUCGUAUAAUGCUUGCCAAUAAAUAGAAUUUUUCAAAAAUAUUAAUUCUGAAAUUAUUAUAAAUCAGAAGGAUCAUACAUUCAACAAGCAAACUAAACCAUCAGAUGAGUACAUGUUAAAAGUCCUUUAAAUUCAAUCAAGUCAUGUGCAUAUAAUGUUAGGUCUAAAGCUAUAUGGAUCUAUCAUACAAACAAAAUAGAAAUGGAUUCCCAGGAAGUAAUAUGACAGGAGAGUAUCACUAUUUAAUCAUUCAAAGUGUAUAUAACACAUGAUCAAAUGAACUCACUAGAGAUGAACCAAAUAAAGGUCAGAAACAAGCUUGAAUAGAAUUCAGCAACCAAUCCAGCAAUCAAUCAACAUCUUUGAGAAUUUCGACCACUCUUAGAAUCCCAAAAAUUACUAAACAACAAUAAAUAAAACCUAAGAUAUGGCUAGACGAAAGCUGAGGAAAUGUUUGAAAUUCAACAACAAUAGCGGAAAUGAAACAAACUAAGAGAAUUUUUUUUUUUUGUUGAUGUUUUUCUAAAAAUUUAAAAGGAAGCUGGAGUUCUGGAAAAAAAAUUUUACUGAAGUUUGAGUGAAUUUUUUAGAGUUUCUUUUCUUAGAAGAAAUCAGUGAUGAAGAGAGAAAUAUAUCAGUAAUUUCUGCAGAGAAUUUCGUGUGAGGGAGUGAAGAAAUGUGAGGUCUUAUAUAGAAAAUGGUGUGCAAGAGGAUAGAGAAUGAAAGACAGUCUAAGAGGGAAUAUGUCAGCUCCUAAAUUUUAGGGAAUGACAUCUUUUUUAAUAAUUUUUGGAAAGUUGUCCCUGUUUCCAGAUAUUUAUUUCAUUUUAAGCAUCUUUUCUUAACAAAUUAGGACAGUUGUCCCUUUUCUCCAGCUGCUCUUUUUCUAGAAACAUCUAAAAGACUCUCCUAAAGUUCUUUAUUUCAAUUAACUCUAUUAAGUUGCUAAUAUUCAAAAAAAUAAGGACAUCAAGCAGACUGUAAAGAUCAAAUGGGCACACAGUUAAUUGAACUAGCAAACAAUUUUAAUCUACAAAAUAUUCCAACAUAUAAUUAAACUCAAAAGUCGAUUAAACUAAAUAUUGGCAAUUAAAUAUAAUUAGCAUGCAAUUAAGAAAUCCAAUCAUACACAUGUAUUAAAAUAGAUGUUAAUUAACAGAUCAAUUAACUAACUUAUGUGCUAAAGCUGAUCUAAUUAGGCUAAUUUUAACACUCAAUCAAGCAAUUUCAAUUAUGUCUAAAAGAUUAUCUCUCUCUCUCUCACUCUCUCUCUCUUUUUCUUAACAAAUUAAAACCAUAAUGAGAUAGAACAAGGUGAGGAUGUACCUAUGGAAAGAAGUAUGAACUGAUAGCGGUGAUUCCAACGGGGUUCGGUCAGUCAGGAAAAAAUCGACCGGAUUUUGACGACUUUCGAAGUGACCCAAAAUUAAUGCUAGUCGAUUGUUCUUGUUAAAAAAAACAAUCGAUCAUCAGAAAUUUUAGGUUAAAUGAGUCAAUAACACCGAGAAAAUCAGAAAAGGAAGCGGACUAGGUAUUUUGAAUUCCUAGAUCUACUAUUCGUUGGUUUCGGUGAGCAUUUCGAGGAAAUUGGUAAAGGAUUUGGAAUGGAGUGUGAAUUUGAGGGAGAUUGGAGUUGUUUAAAGCGCGGCGCCAGCAAAGGGUCUUGGGGCGACUAGGGUAUGGGAGGGGAUUUGGGAGAGAUGAGGGAGAUGAGAGUGAAGUGUUUGUUUAGGGUUUGGGUA